GACGUAGGGCGCGAGCGUUGUCCGGAUUUAUUGGGCGUAAAGAGCGUGUAGGCGGCCAGGUAGGUCUGCUGUGAAAACUCGAGGCUUAACCUCGAGCUGUCGGCGGAAACCAUCUGGCUAGAGUCCGGAAGAGGAGAAUGGAAUUCCCGGUGUAAGCGGUGAAAUGCGCAGAUAUCGGGAAGAACACCCGUGGCGAAGGCGGUUCUCUGGGACGGUACUGACGCUGAGACGCGAAAGCGUGGGGAGCGAACAGG
rnacentral:rRNA from 1 species